CCUACGGGAGACAGCAGUGGGGAAUUUUGGACAAUGGGCGCAAGCCUGAUCCAGCUAUUCCGCGUGUGGGAUGAAGGCCCUCGGGUUGUAAACCACUUUUGUAGAGAACGAAAAGACACCUUCGAAUAAAGGGUGUUGCUGACGGUACUCUACGUAUAAGCACCGGCUAAAUACGUGCCAGCAGCCGCGGUAAUACGUAGGGUGCGGGCGUUAAUCGGAAUUACUGGGCGGAAAGGGUGCGCAGGCGGUUGAGUAUGUCAGAUGUGAAAGCCCCGAGCUUAACUCGGGAAUGGCAUAUGUAACUGCUCGACUAGAGUGUGUCAGAGGGAGGUGGAAUUCCACGUGUAGCAGUGAAAUGCGUAGAUAUGUGGAAGAACACCGAUGGCGAAGGCAGCCUCCUGGGACAUAACUGACGCUCAGGCACGAAAGCGUGGGGAGCAAACAGGAUUAGAUACCCGGGUAGUC
rnacentral:rRNA from 1 species